AAGUUUGAUAAGUUUUCAUUAAUAGUUAUUUUAGUAACUUUCUAUAGUCGUCCUAAACGGUAUAAGGGGGAGAAGCAUAACGUCUUUAGCUAGCAGGUAGAACUGGGUUAAUUACUGCAUUGUCUUUGGCAAACAUAAUUUAAAGUUAAUUACACAACUCUUACUGCCUAUAUUCUACUCAGCAAAGUUCAUCUUAUCUUAUUCUGUUUUCAUUGCGCCAUUCUCUCUAUACAGUUUUUGAAUUUACAUACUAUAAUGUACACGGGAGUUUUUUUUUCUGUGCUUCUGCAACUGUUUCUUAGGUUUUCCUGUAAGGUUUUUGUAAUUAAUUAAAAAAUAUAUAUAUAAUUUUUUUGGCUUUAGUGGAUUCCCGCUCAGCUAACUCGGCCAUUAUGCACUACCCAGUAAACAAAAUGGCUGAACAGUAUCUUAAAUGUUUGAACAUGAGCUAGUCAUACCAUGUUACGUAAUAUUCAUGUGCAGUGUAGCAAGCUCACCUUAUAGGGGUGUAAAACAUGAGGUGUAUGAGGUGAUUGUUUAAAUUACAGGAGUAGAUGCCUGCAGCUGAAACAGUUUUCUGAUCUGAACGUGAACCUACUGGUCACGUUUACGGUAAUGUUACCAGAUAUGCAUUGUACUAUAGGAAAACGGUGGUGGAUCAGUGUGCAAAAAGCCCCCAAAAGAAACACACAGCUUCUUUAGCUCAAACACUGUCUGAUCACUCUCUUAGAUACUGUGCUGUUCCAUCUAGUUAUUGGUUACUGAGAAAUGUUUGGCUAUUAAUUUAUUAAGAGAGUGCAGCUGUUCAGAUCAGAUGGUGAAGUAGGAAAAUGCAGAACAUGUUACUAUAGCUGAAUGCUGUGUAAAAAUACUAAACUCCCAUUUAUGGCUUUUACUACUGUGGGGCUAAAUAAAAAAUUACAGACAUAAUGAAAUCUGCUACAAUUACAAAGCUUAAGUUUAAAACAAUUAUUAUAUAUUAAGCAUUUUUUUUUGCUCUUUUUUUAAAAUUCUUUUUGCUAAUAAUGGACUCAAUUUUAUUAUCAAGUUCAAAGACCUAUUAAACUUUUAAACCAUUAAAUCCAGGAAAUUAGAUGCCCGUAAAUGUACGAGACCCUCUUUAUGGCUAGUAUCCCCAAAUAUUCAAUAGUCCUUUCUAGUGCUGGGCGAUAUGGAAAAAAUAUUUGUCACGAUAUGAAUUAUUUUAUAUCAUGAUAACGAUAUAUAUCACGAUAUACCACAAUGUUUCCAGUUAUUCUCUGAAAAGUUUGAAAAAUUUCAUUCCUCACUUUUUUUCCUCAACUUUAUUUUGAAGAGACAUUUAACGGAACUGUCACAAUUGAGAAACAUACAUUUUAGUAUAAAUGUAUCAAAUGAAAAUAGCUGUGGCCUUCACAUUUUUUUUUCAAAACGUACAUUUAAAAUGAAUUGUCAAAAUAAACUUAAAGUGCACAACAGUUUCAAGUUUCUGAGAAGAAAACUCAGAUUUGCACAAAAGUUCAGCUAUAAAAAAUAAACAAAUUAUUUCUUAACUUUCUGAAAUCUGUAACCUUGUACUGCAAAGUUUGCAAACCAAUAUAAAAUGACAAAAGUAAGCAUCACAGUUGAACAGAACUCUGUUUAAGGCAUUAACCAUAAAUUAAAGUGCAAACAGAAAAUGGCUACUUUGCAGAAGUAGAUAUGUUACUUUUGAAUUUACAGGUUGAGUGCAAGGAAGACUAAUUGGUCAACUGUGUUUGGCUUAAGACAUGACCUCUUACAUGUGAUGAUGUUCCCACUCGCACUGAAAGCCCUUUCAGAUGAAGAACUAGUAGCAGGAAUGCACAAGUACUUUCUGGCCAGCCUGGCCACCAAUGGAAAGUUUGUCUCAUGCUGCUUCCACCACUCCAGUGGGUCAGUCUCUGAGUCAGGUCCAGGUGAUACAUGGAGAGCUCCAGUUCAAUGGAUGCUCUACUGGGUUGGGAGUGGGUGGUGGAUUGACCUGCCUUUUUGAAGUAGCUACCUAAACUUUUCUUUUUCUUUGUGGGACGGGGAAGCUCUGGAUCAUCGUCAGCAGCUGGGGGUGAACUGGAGGCUGCUGCUGUUUGUGCACUUUCUGGUGCUGUUGCUCCCACCAUGUCCACCAGCUCUGCUGCAGCUCUCAUCUUUAUGAACUCCACCCUCUCUUCCUUGAUAUUCUUCAAGAUCACAAGCACCAUCUUUGACAUCACGCUCCUCCAGAUGUAGUCGUGUUUAUGUGAACCAUCUGACGCAUGAGGGCGAGUCUGCCUGUUACCUGGCAGCGCAGCGUGGACACCUGGAGGUGGUCCAACUGCUCCUCAAAGCACACGCUGAUAUCAACCAGCUCACUAACGACUUGUCCUGUCCUCUUUAUGAACGUAUUACAACUGCGCUUCACUGAUGUUUAAUUUUUUUCUGUUUUUGCUUGUCUAACCCUUUAAGCUCCUCUAACCAAAUGAAUGUCCCAAAAUUUGCUUCCAGCUGUUAGCCACGGGCACACAAAUGUUGUAGAACUGCUGGUAAGCAAAGGUGCUGAGGUCAGCAGAAUACACACAGAGUCCAGCUGGACCUGCCUGCACCAAGCUGCAUAUAAGGGCCACACUGAGAUCGUGCGCAUUCUUGUUAAUAAAUGCAACCUGGAGGCAGUAGAUGAUCACAGGAUUUCCCCGUUAUUUGUGGCUGCACAGUAUGGACAGAGGGGGUGCCUGGAAAUACUCGUUAACGCCGGUAAAUAUGAUUUUCUUUUAAUGGUAGCUGUACAUUUUUUUCCCUCCUUGUUAAAGGAUCUCAUGCUCCAUGUCCUCUUGGCCUCUUCUUUAGGAAGUAAUUAAGUAAAAUAGAUUACACAGUUAAUUUUUUAACCUGCUUUCACUUCAGGUGCCGACGUGAACACGCAGGCAGUUGAUCUGAGAACACCUCUGUUCAUCUCUGUAUCCACUGCGCGGCUUUCCCACGCAAACUACUCCGCCGCAGGCUAGCUCGCCAGGCUAACCUGUCGAGUGGCGACCCUUUGCUGUGUGAGGCUGCUGUGGCGCAAGGAGAAAUUGAGAUGCCCGAUGAUUUGGCCGCAACGCCAGGGCCGAGCUGGGCAGAGGUAGACCCUCAGCCCAUCGCGACCGCUUUCUGCUCUGUGUGGCUCUAAACCAAGUAUAUUUUGCUGGCUGCUGGCUUCCUCUUCUCCUGAAGGCAGGACUGGAACCAUCUUUACUGCUUCAGCCCCACAUAUAAGGCGCCACACCACCUCUGUCUCAUGUUUCUCCCAAAGGGCCACACUGCGAUCGUGCGCAUUCUUGUUAAUAUCUCCUUAGUAAUCAACAAGCUGUAAUAGGUUUGUUCCAGGAAUGGGCCUCUAAAAAUCAAAAACUUGACUUUGUUUAAUUUGGCCAAUCACAGUUUCAGGGUUACCCUCUCAUGCACAGCUGCUGUUUGGAGAAAUCAGAGGAGGAUAUUCUAAGUAAACAGUUCUCUAACUUUCUGACUCCCCCCACUUCAGAAGCCAAAAUAAGGUCAAACCCCACAGUUAACAGGUUUUAUUAGUCAGUGAUGUUAAACAAGGAUCCCAAUUAAAUUUUAGUGACAUUAAGAUCAGCAUAGUAGCAUUUGCAUUAGCCUGUUUUUGCCGGCCAAAAUCAAAUUCACUCAUCUUAUUUGCUCUCAGUUUAUUUUCCUAACGUCACUCACCAGCAGUGGCCCUUUUCGCCCAUCAAAAGAGGACUUUGGGGGAAUAAUCUUAAAAAAAAAAAAAAAAAAAAAAAAAAAAGCUUCUGUAUUUAAAGCUGUCUGGUUAUGCCUGAGAAAAUUCUUUUAAACAGGAGAUCGGCUAAAUUUAAGUCAGGAUCCAAAGCUGGUUGAUCACCCAUCAUCAUUAUCUGUUCCUUUGUGUCAUCUGUUCUUUGUACGCUGGAAGAUGCAGACAGCCAAGUGUUAAAUUACCUCCCUCAGUUUGUAAACUGGUCGACUUUAUCUCCACAUUUGAAAGAUAUUCUGGAUCGAAGGGUGGCAGAAAAGUCCUGGGAUCCACAUCCAUGUUUCGGUACAGCAGUAAAUAUGCACUGCAGAGGUUAAAUAACCUGCACGUGGAAACACUGCAGCGAUUGAUCUUUUCUCUCCACCUUCUUUCAGACUCCGUCCCCUGUCUUUCACACAUCUGCCGGCUGCAGGUCAGAGCACUGCUGGGACCAGAUAUCCUGAUGAGGACCAAUGUCGUCCAGCAGCUUCCUGUCCCCAACUGGCUUCAUGAAUUUCUUAAAUUCAGGGAGAUCCCAGAAGCUUCGUACACACAUGCGCCACCAUCACCUAUUUCACAGCGACUCUGGGAUUAUCCCAGUAUACACCAGCACAGACAUAACCACAUCCAUAUUCUUUAUUAAAUGCAAAUAUUUGAGUCUGGUUCAUCAUUUUAUGCACAUUCCUAUUUGGAGUAUGGCUGGAUUGGAGGUUUAAACAGAAGAAUGUCAGGUACAGAAGAGGGACAAAUUAAUAGAAAAACCAAAAAGCCUCUUACUAAGGUGUUGGACCACCAGAACAGCACUACUGCUCCUUUAUGUUUAUUCUUGAAAUGUCUGGAAAGUCACUGGAGCGCUGGACACUAUUCUUCCAAAAGAUAUUCCCUCCUAUGUUUGAUGAUGUUGGAGAGGACUGUCUAAUGGUCAAACAUCUCCCACAGGCGUUCAUUUGGUAUCUCUUCUUGUGGGUUAUUCUUGAGUGUGAGUUUGUUUAGCAUUGUCUGUGUGUGUGUGUGUACAAAGAUAACAACGUCACUCAGAACAGCGGGUUUUUCCCUUUUCUACAUCUGAAUGUUCUCUGAAAACAGGAAGCGGUUAGUAGCUGAAUAAGUUCAUCAUCACAAGAGUUAUUAGGUGAAAAGUCACAUAGACAUGUGGUUUGCUUAGUGAUACAAAAAGAGCACAUUUCAUGUGGCUGAUCACAUUAUGUACAAUUUUCUUUUAACAUUCCCUCCUGUUUAUCAGAGAAAUGAAAUGUACAUGUUAUCAGUAAGUAACUACUUGUCUUUCACAUUUUCAGUUACUACAUCAUUAGUUACACUUCAUCUUCAUCUAACAAAUAGGAAAAUAAGUCUUCAUGAUCUUCAUCGGUUUUUGGUACAUCUGCGUAUGCUGUGAGUGACAAACUUAUCUGUGAAAUUACAGCUUUUAAACAAGGAAUAACUCAAAUAAAGAAAACAAAAUAAAACCAGGGAUACUCCAACGCCGAUCAACAGUCUCUUUAAAACCUGUUAAAGUUGAGCGCUUCUUCCUGGAUGAGGAUGUUGAUGUUGUUGUUGUGCGCUUUACAAAAGUCAUUCUGAAGGUGUGGUCGGAGAUCAGAAUUAGUGCACCUGUUCCAGGGUGUUUCCCAUAAAUGGUUGUGUUAAUACGCUCGGCAUGUGCGAGCAAACGUAACAGUCUUUCUCUGUGGUCCUGUUAAACAUGUAUCUGUAACAGGCAUUUUCAUCCAAGGAUGGAUGUAGUCUCGUGUCAUGUCCAUUAGGUGGAGGUUGUCGUGCGUCCAUCUUCUCUGUCUGCCUCGUGGCUCAGCUGCUGUUGGCAUCAGCUGAGGUCCUGUAAGGGUGAGCUUUGUAGUCAAGGUAACCAGGAGGGUUCCCCUUCCCAUGGUUGCACAUAGGUCCAUCACACCUGCACCUGGCUGCCCUAAAGUUGAUCGGAUGGAGAUUGGAGUGCGGGCUUACCCGACGGGGGCCCAAUCAGCACUUCCCCCCCUCACCCCCGAAGCAACCAAGCGUAGGUGAGACUUCCCGAAUGUGCUUCCUCCUUGGUGUCAGGGCUUCCCGGGACCUCAGUCUUUUUGCAGUGGCUCUGACGUAUCCAGGAGGGUCUCUCUUUGGGCUGCACAAUUAAUCGUUAGAAAAUCGCGAUCUCUUUUCCAAAUGACGAUUUAAAAAAAAAAAAAAAAAAAAAUGACGAUUGUACUGAAUUUUGAUCUGGGACAUAAUCUGCAUGAAAACAAGCACUCACUCUUCCAACAAAUGACAAUACCGAAGCCAGCUGGCAGGGAAAAAACAACGGAGAGCACGUGAGAGAUGACGAAGCUGUAAAGGCCAAGAAAGUGACAGGAGAGAAUCCGUCCCGGUCAACCACAUCAACAACGGGAACUUGAUACAGCGCUUCCCCAUAACCGUCAAACUCCCGCAGGCACAAAGAAAUUAUGGAGGCUAUCACUUAUCACCUGGCUA